rnacentral:rRNA from 1 species
AUUGAACGCUAGCGGGAUGCCUUACACAUGCAAGUCGAACGGAGUGGCGAACGGGUGCGUAAUGUAUCGGAACGUGCCCAGUCGCGGGGGAUAACUACGCGAAAGCGUAGCUAAUACCGCAUACUAUUGGAGCGGCCGAUAGCGGUUUAGCUAGUGGGGUGGGUAACGGCUCACCAAGGCGACGAUCCGUAGCUGGGUUGAGUGGAGGCCCAGCCACACUGGGACGGGGACACGGCCCAGACUCCUACGGGAGGCAGCAGUGGGGAAUUUUGGACAAUGGGGGAAACCCUGAUCCAGCCAUCCCGCGUGUGCGAUGAAGGCCUUCGGGUUGUAAAGCACUUUUGGCAGGAAAGCGGUACCUGCAGAAUAAGCACCGGCUAACUACGUGCCAGCAGCCGCGGUAAUUC